rnacentral:rRNA from 1 species
CCUACGGGAGGCUGCAGUCGAGAAUCAUUCACAAUGGGGGAAACCCUGAUGGUGCGACGCCGCGUGGGGGAAUGAAGGUCUUCGGAUUGUAAACCCCUGUCAUGUGGGAGCAAAUUAAAAAGAUAGUACCACAAGAGGAAGAGACGGCUAACUCUGUGCCAGCAGCCGCGGUAAUACAGAGGUCUCAAGCGGUGUUCGGAAUCCCUGGGCGUAAAGGGUGCGUAGGCUGUUUCGUAAGUCGUGUGUGAAAGGCGCGGGCUCAACCCGCGGACGGCACAUGAUACUGCGAGACUAGAGUAAUGGAGGGGGAACCGGAAUUCGCGGUGUAGCAGUGAAAUGCGUAGAUAUCGAGAGGAACACUCGUGGCGAAGGCGGGUUCCUGGACAUUAACUGACGCUGAGGCACGAAGGCCAGGGGAGCGAAAGGGAUUAGAUACCCUUGUAGUC